CCUACGGGUGGCAGCAGUGAGGAAUAUUGGUCAAUGGGCGGGAGCCUGAACCAGCUAAGUCGCGUGAGGGAAGACGGUCCUAUGGAUUGUAAACCCCUUUAGGCGGGGAGCAAUGCCGGGCACGUGUGCCCGGCGGGAGAGUACCCGCAGUAUAAGCAUCGGCUAACUCCGUGCCAGCAGCCGCGGUAAUACGGGGGAUGCGAGCGUUAUCCGGAUUUAUUGGGUUUAAGGGGUGCGUAGGCGGAUUUUUAAGUCAGCGGUAAAAUGUCCGGGCUCAAUCCGGGUCGGCCGUUGAGACUGGGGAUCUUGAGUGGGCGAGAGGUAUGCGGAAUGCGUGGUGUAGCAGUGAAAUGCAUAGAUAUCACGCAGAACUCCGAUUGCGAAGGCAGCAUACCGGCGCCCGACUGACGCUGAGGCACGAAAGCGUGGGGAUCGAACAGGAUUAGAUACCCCGGUAGUC
rnacentral:rRNA from 1 species